UGGCUAUCAGACUCCCUAAAACUCAAUAUUCUCCCUCGUUUUUAUCUCUUUGAACCAUCACCGCCGCUCCGGCACGCCCACGGCGGCGGCUGCGGCGGUUCCCUCCCAGAAACCUAAUCAAGAUCCACCAUUUGAUUCUUCUCGACAUCCUAUUUCUAAAUCCACGACCAACUUUCCUCAAUUUCAAACAACCUUUUCUAAAUCUAACAAAAUCUCCCGAACCCUAAGUUCAACCAAAGUGAAAUUAAAUUGCCAAGGUAGCGAAUCGAAUCACGAGACCUUAGGGUAAAUAUCCAGGAAGAUUUGAACUACAUCACGGUGAGAAGAAUCACGCAAGAAAGCAAGAGGAAAUAAAAAACGACACUUACCUACCGGAGUAGCUCCGACGGCUCUUCAACGGCGUGGAUUUGGCGAAAUAAACGCGAGGAUAUACUUCAAUCUCAGGUUGGAGUUACAAUGUGAAUAUGAACCCCUUCUUGUAUAUCCGCUUAUGGUUUCGGCACCGACCUGGAUUUUUCAGGAUCGUGUAUGGAAAUGUUAGGGUGUAAGGAUGACUCUAAGGUGUGAGGCUCGGAUAUGUUCGUAUGGUGUAUCGAAUGAGGUGCAGUAAGCUGGUGUAGCAGGGAUGUAUAUGUAUGAAUGUAGUGUAGAUAUGGUUGAUAUGUCUUGGAACUGUAUGAAAAUGCAUUGUAUGGUUAUGGUUCUUUUAUGCAUCAGGUUUGGCAAGUAUUUCGGGGUUAACAUGUAUGUGAACUGAAUAUGAGAUGGUGAUGUCUGGACUCAAUUACGGGCUAAGGUGAUUGUUUUGCAAUAGGUGGAGAAGGAUGUUGAACAUGAAGCAUGUGGUUUGAUGGAUUGGAAUGUGUGGAACAGUUUGGUUCAUGAUCGGGCUUCCUUUCUUGUGGUUCAGAACUCUGUUAUUUUUUAAUCUUGUGAGUUAACCUUGGUUUUAUGCUGCAAUUCUAAUUAUGCAGGGUGUUUAAAGUGGCAGCUUAUGGCAUGGGAUUAUAUGGACUUGUACUUUUGAAGGGUUGAAUAUUGUAGAGUUGUGGAUUAAUUUGAAAGUCUUGAAGGGUGUGAAGUAGGAUUAGGGACAAUAUUUUUUUGAUGUAAUUCUUUUGUAGUUUGACUUUUUGUAAUGGAUAUCGAAUAAUGUGAUUUUCUUUGGAAUUGGAUA